CCUACGGGUGGCAGCAGUAGGGAAUAUUGCUCAAUGGGGGAAACCCUGAAGCAGCAACGCCGCGUGGAGGAUGAAGGUUUUCGGAUUGUAAACUCCUUUUGUUAGAGAAGAUAAUGACGGUAUCUAACGAAUAAGCACCGGCUAACUCCGUGCCAGCAGCCGCGGUAAUACGGAGGGUGCAAGCGUGACGCGGAAACACUGGGCGUAAAGAGAGCGUAGGCGGGAUAGCAAGUCAGAUGGGAAAUCCUAUGGGUUAACCAUAGAAUUGCGUUUGAUACUGGUAUUCUAGAGUAUGGGAGAGGUAGGUGGAAUUCUUGGUGUAGGGGUAAAAUCCGUAGAGAUCAAGAGGAAUACUCAUUGCGAAGGCGACCUGCUAGAACAUAACUGACGCUGAUGCGCGAAAGCGUGGGGAGCAAACAGGAUUAGAUACCCGAGUAGUC
rnacentral:rRNA from 1 species